rnacentral:rRNA from 1 species
GAACGCUAGCUACAGGCUUAACACAUGCAAGUCGAGGGGCAGCAUGGUCUUAGCUUGCUAAGGCCGAUGGCGACCGGCGCACGGGUGAGUAACACGUAUCCAACCUGCCGUCUACUCUUGGACAGCCUUCUGAAAGGAAGAUUAAUACAAGAUGGCAUCAUGAGUCCGCAUGUUCACAUGAUUAAAGGUAUUCCGGUAGACGAUGGGGAUGCGUUCCAUUAGAUAGUAGGCGGGGUAACGGCCCACCUAGUCUUCGAUGGAUAGGGGUUCUGAGAGGAAGGUCCCCCACAUUGGAACUGAGACACGGUCCAAACUCCUACGGGAGGCAGCAGUGAGGAAUAUUGGUCAAUGGGCGAGAGCCUGAACCAGCCAAGUAGCGUGAAGGAUGACUGCCCUAUGGGUUGUAAACUUCUUUUAUAAAGGAAUAAAGUCGGGUAUGGAUACCCGUUUGCAUGUACUUUAUGAAUAAGGAUCGGCUAACUCCGUGCCAGCAGCCGCGGUAAUACGGAGGAUCCGAGCGUUAUCCGGAUUUAUUGGGUUUAAAGGGAGCGUAGAUGGAUGUUUAAGUCAGUUGUGAAAGUUUGCGGCUCAACCGUAAAAUUGCAGUUGAUACUGGAUAUCUUGAGUGCAGUUGAGGCAGGCGGAAUUCGUGGUGUAGCGGUGAAAUGCUUAGAUAUCACGAAGAACUCCGAUUGCGAAGGCAGCCUGCUAAGCUGCAACUGACAUUGAGGCUCGAAAGUGUGGGUAUCAAACAGGAUUAGAUACCCUGGUAGUCCACACGGUAAACGAUGAAUACUCGCUGUUUGCGAUAUACAGCAAGCGGCCAAGCGAAAGCGUUAAGUAUUCCACCUGGGGAGUACGCCGGCAACGGUGAAACUCAAAGGAAUUGACGGGGGCCCGCACAAGCGGAGGAACAUGUGGUUUAAUUCGAUGAUACGCGAGGAACCUUACCCGGGCUUAAAUUGCAGAUGAAUUACGGUGAAAGCCGUAAGCCGCAAGGCAUCUGUGAAGGUGCUGCAUGGUUGUCGUCAGCUCGUGCCGUGAGGUGUCGGCUUAAGUGCCAUAACGAGCGCAACCCUUGUUGUCAGUUACUAACAGGUUCCGCUGAGGACUCUGACAAGACUGCCAUCGUAAGAUGUGAGGAAGGUGGGGAUGACGUCAAAUCAGCACGGCCCUUACGUCCGGGGCUACACACGUGUUACAAUGGGGGGUACAGAGGGCCGCUACCACGCGAGUGGAUGCCAAUCCCCAAAACCUCUCUCAGUUCGGACUGGAGUCUGCAACCCGACUCCACGAAGCUGGAUUCGCUAGUAAUCGCGCAUCAGCCACGGCGCGGUGAAUACGUUCCCGGGCCUUGUACACACCGCCCGUCAAGCCAUGGGAGCCGGGGGUACCUGAAGUGCGUAACCGCGAGGAGCGCCCUAGGGUAAAACUGGUGACUGGGGCUAA